rnacentral:rRNA from 1 species
AUGCAAGCACCUCACUCACAAGUCACCACAGCAGCAAGCCAUAGACAGACUCAAGUACGUACUGUAGUUACGUACAUCGAACACCACAAUUUGUGGAAUCACACCCAGGGGAACCGAUCGAGCAGAUCAUACAAGCGGCAAGGCAACUUACCGCUCGCACGUCUGCACCGGCAUACGUCGCAAUCAGCACGGGCUGGCCUCGCCGACCUCGAUGGCCACGGCCGGCUCGGGCAUGGUCACGGCAGCAACGGCGACGCCGGCCCUGGGCACUGUGACGAUGAGCUGCGCGCCGCCGUCGUCCAUGGCGGCCCUGACCUGGCCCAGGGCGGCGUCGUCGGGGAGGUGGAACCUGCCGAAGAAGGUGGCGACGCUGCGCUCGACGUGGUGGCGCGUCUCGCUCUUGGCCUCCCUCCGCAGGUUCCGCUCGCCGGCGAUGACCAGCACCUUGCCCUCCUCCUCCACCUCCACCUUGACCUCCUCCUUGGUGACGCCCGCGGGGAGCCUGGCGCUGAACACGUAGGCCUCCGCCGUCUCCCGGCUCUCGAUGUAGGUGUCGGCGAACGCCGUCGUGUCGCUGGCCAGCCAGGCGUCGGUGCCGCUGGACGCCGUGGUGCCGAAGAUGCUGCCGAAGGGGUUCCACGAGUCCAGGGCCAGCGUGUCGAAGAACCUCACCAACGACAUCCUCUAGAUCGGUUUAGCUAG